AGCUUUGUGCAGUGGCAGUAUCGUAGCCAAUGAGGUUUAUCCGAGGCGCGAUUAUUGCUAAUUGAAAAAAUAAGUUUGAGUGACAGGGCGCCUGGGUGGCUCAGUAGGUUACGUAUCCAACUCUUGUCAGGUCAUGAU